rnacentral:rRNA from 1 species
UACGUAGGGGGCGAGCGUUGUCCGGAAUUACUGGGCGUAAAGGGUGCGUAGGCGGUCUAUUAAGUUGGAUGUGAAAUCCCCGGGCUUAACUUGGGGUCUGCAUCCAAUACUGGGAGACUAGAGUGCAGGAGAGGGAAGCGGAAUUCCUAGUGUAGCGGUGAAAUGCGUAGAUAUUAGGAGGAACACCAGUGGCGAAGGCGGCUUUCUGGACUGUAACUGACGCUGAGGCACGAAAGCGUGGGGAGCAAACAGGAUUAGAUACCCUGGUAGUCCACGCUGUAAACGAUGAAUACUAGGUGUAGGGGGUAUCAACUCCCCCUGUGCCGGAGCAAACGCAAUAAGUAUUCCGCCUGGGGAGUACGGCCGCAAGGUUGAA